CAGCCGCCGCGGUAAUAUGUAGGUGGCAAGCGUUGUCCGGAAUUAUUGGGCGUAAAGGGCUCGCAGGCGGUUUCUUAAGUCUGAUGUGAAAGCCCCCGGCUCAACCGGGGAGGGUCAUUGGAAACUGGGAAACUUGAGUGCAGAAGAGGAGAGUGGAAUUCCACGUGUAGCGGUGAAAUGCAUAGAGAUGUGGAGGAACACCAGUGGCGAAGGCGACUCUCUGGUCUGUAACUGACGCUGAGGAGCGAAAGCGUGGGGAGCGAACAGGAUUAGAUACCCCGGUAGUCCCUGUCUCUUAUAC
rnacentral:rRNA from 1 species